rnacentral:rRNA from 1 species
UACGUAGGGGGCAAGCGUUGUCCGGAUUUAUUGGGCGUAAAGAGCGUGUAGGCGGCCAUACAGGUCAGCUGUGAAAACUCGAGGCUCAACCUCGAGACGUCGGUUGAAACCGUAUGGCUAGAGUCCGGAAGAGGAGAGUGGAAUUCCCGGUGUAGCGGUGAAAUGCGCAGAUAUCGGGAAGAACACCCGUGGCGAAGGCGGCUCUCUGGGACGGUACUGACGCUGAGACACGAAAGCGUGGGUAGCAAACAGG